rnacentral:rRNA from 1 species
UAAGGAAUUUUCCGCAAUGGACGAAAGUCUGACGGAGCGACACCGCGUGAAGGAUGACGCCCCUCGGGGUGUAAACUUCUUUUCUGAUUGAAUAAGGUCUGAAGGUAAAUCAGGAAUAAGCAUCGGCUAACUACGUGCCAGCAGCCGCGGUAAUACGUAGGAUGCAAGCGUUAUCCGGAAUUAUUGGGCGUAAAGAGUCUGUAGGUGGCAUGUUAAGUCGGGCAUUAAAUUCCGGGGCUCAACCCCGGAGCAGUGUUCGAAACUGGCAAGCUAGAGUAUUACAGGGGUAGGUAGAAUUUCCGGUGUAGGGGUAAAAUCCGUAGAUAUCGGAAGGAAUACCAAAAGCGAAGGCAGCCUACUGGAGUAAUACUGACACUGAGAGACGAAAGCGUGGGUAGCA